rnacentral:misc_RNA from 1 species
GUAUUUUUCUGCAAAAAUGGUUGAUGUUAUUGCUGAUGCAAACAUGGAUGCUGUACAGCGCCGUCUCAUGUUUGACGAUGAAUGUAUUUUGGUGGAUGUGAAUGACAAGGUUGUUGGUCAUGAGUCCAAGUACAAUUGUCAUUUGAUGGAAAAGAUCGAAUCUGAGAAUUUGCUGCACAGAGCUUUCAGUGUGUUUCUUUUCAACUCAAAGUAUGAACUUCUUCUUCAGCAACGAUCUGCAACAAAGGUAACCUUUCCUUUGGUGUGGACAAACACAUGCUGCAGCCAUCCUCUCUACCGAGAGUCUGAGCUUAUCGAGGAGAAUGCUCUUGGUGUAAGAAACGCUGCACAGAGGAAGCUGCUUGAUGAACUCGGUAUCCCUGCUGAAGAUGUCCCGGUUGACCAGUUCACACCAUUGGGUCGUAUGCUUUACAAGGCUCCAUCUGAUGGAAAGUGGGGAGAACAUGAACUUGAUUACCUUCUGUUCAUCGUUCGUGAUGUCAACGUUCACCCGAACCCAGACGAAGUUGCUGACAUCAAAUAUGUGAACCAAGAGCAACUAAAAGAGCUUUUGAGGAAAGCUGAUGCUGGUGAAGAAGGUUUGAAGCUGUCUCCUUGGUUCAGACUCGUUGUUGACAACUUCUUGUUCAAAUGGUGGGAUCAUGUUGAGAAGGGGACCAUCCAAGAAGCUGCUGAUAUGAAAACCAUUCACAAGUUGACUUAAAAGCUACGUUGCUCAAUCUCUCCAAAAAUAUCGUGACAAUGCAUGCACCUGUCAUCAUUUUUGAAGAGUCUUGAGCAAACAUAGCUUAAACGGAGUCAACUUUUUACAUGGUUGAACAACUACAUUUCUGUUCCUUUUUAGACAAUAAAUUUGGUAAUAUGUUCUGUUGUUGUUGUUGAAUAGAACAGAGGUAUUAUUGAACUGAUCAGAGCUUGUAACAUAGACAUGUUUCUGUUGAAUUUUAAUGAAGUAGCUUUGCUGCUUUGUACUUG